GGCUGAUCUUGAGCGCCUGACCUCAAGCAGUCCUCCUGCCUCAGCCUCCCGAGUAGCUGAGAUCACAGGUGCAUGCCACUGCGCCCAGCUUGACAUUGAUUCUAUGAUAACAGCAGCCCGUGGAAUGGUGGAAGCAGCCAGACACACUUGGGAAUUACCUUGGCCUCUGGGACUCCCAACUCCCGAGAGAGUGGCAGACACCAGGAUAUGGCGGUGUUGCCCAGGGCUGAGCCUUGAGGUAAAGUAGGGAUCCCACUCCUCCCCCACACAGCAUGGGCAGCCUUGGGGCCUCAUGCAAGACGGGCCCGGCACCAGCCCCUACCGGGUUGCAAAAGCAGUGCAAAGGCCCAAAGAAAGGUGAGUAAUGGAGGGAGGGAGAGCCACGUGGGUCAGGGGGGCUCCAAGAUCCCUGGACUGCCAGUGCUGGGUGGAGCAGGGAGAUGCCUUCACCUACCCAAACCUCAAAUCACAUGGAUGGGAAGAUACAGGCCCAAGCUGUCCCAGUGCACAACCCUCGCAGCUCACACACUAUGUCAGCUUCCCUUCUCUCCCUCCCUUCCUUGUGCAGGGCAGGGCUACUUUAGGGCUGAGGCAGGGAGGCUCAGAGAGGUGCAGAGACUUGCCCCAGCCACAUGGCUGGCAGUGCGCCUCUGAUCAGCACUUCCUCUGUGCCAGGCUUCCACCUCCUUCAUCUUCUUUAAUCCUUGCAACAACCUUUCAAGGUGGGAGUGAUUUGUUUUUUGUUUUGUGUGUGUGUGUGUGUGUUUUUUUUUUAGACAGAGUCUUGCUCUGUCGCCCAGGCUGGAGUGCAGUGGCACGAUCUCCGCUCACUACAACCUCUACCUCCUGGGUUCAAGUGAUUCUCCUGCCUUAACUUCCUGAGUAGCUGGGACUACAGGCACAUGCCACUGCGCCCGGCUAAUUUUUGUACUUUUAGUAGAGACGGGGUUUCACCGUGUUAGGGUCUCGAACUCCUGACUUCAGGUGAUCCGCCUGCCUCGGCCUCCCAAAGUACUGGGAUUACAGGUGUGAGCCACCGCACCCGGCCGGUGGGAGUGAUUUUGCCCAUUUUACAGAUGAGGAAGCUGAGGCUCAGAAAGGUGAAGCUGAUUACUCUCGCAUGCAGGGAGUGGGACUCGCAUAGAACCUUUAUUCAUUUGCUCACAAAGAAGCAGCUCAAGCAGACAAGCAGGUGCCCGGGAAGGACCCUGUGGCUGGAGAUGCUGGAGGAAAGGCCUGCAGAGAAACUGCUGUCCUUCAGGGCCUGUCCCAGGGGACACCAGUCCUGCCGACACCUCAAGCCACACACUCAGGGGCUCAACGUGCAGUCAGGAGCUCCCCGAGGUGACUGCAGGGUGGCCAAUGCCCCUUGCCACUCUCCUACCACUUUCCCCCACUCCAGUCCUGCCUCAGCUUCACCAGAGCCCCCAGGAUCCGUGUCCCCUGCACCCUGCAUGACUGGACGCCUGGGUCAUAUCACACCACAGUUUGCCACACCUGACUGCACGGCGCCCCUGGCCAGCCAAGCUGGUCAACACCUCCAGGACAGCGGCCAAGGCAGUGGAACCCAGCAGAGGUGGAGGAGAAGGUAGGACCAGCAGACCCUCCUGACCCUGUUCUGAUCGCACUCACUUACAAGGCCAUCUGCUCGGCAGUGCGGCGAGCUCAGGGCACUGGGGCAGACAGUGGCACCCGCCCAGA